CGGGACACGUGGUAUCCUGUCUGAAUAUGGGGGGACCAUCCUCCAAGGCUAAAUACUCCUGACUGACCGAUAGUGAACCAGUACCGUGAGGGAAAGGCGAAAAGAACCCCGGCGAGGGGAGUGAAAAAGAACCUGAAACCGUGUACGUACAAGCAGUGGGAGCACAGAGCAAUCUGUGUGACUGCGUACCUUUUGUAUAAUGGGUCAGCGACUUAUAUUCUGUAGCAAGGUUAACCGAAUAGGGGAGCCGAAGGGAAACCGAGUCUUAACCGGGCGUUAAGUUGCAGGGUAUAGACCCGAAACCCGGUGAUCUAGCCAUGGGCAGGUUGAAGGUUGGGUAACACUAACUGGAGGACCGAACCGACUAAUGUUGAAAAAUUAGCGGAUGACUUGUGGCUGGGGGUGAAAGGCCAAUCAAACCGGGAGAUAGCUGGUUCUCCCCGAAAGCUAUUUAGGUAGCGCCUCGUGAAUUCAUCUCCGGGGGUAGAGCACUGUUUCGGCAAGGGGGUCAUCCCGACUUACCAACCCGAUGCAAACUGCGAAUACCGGAGAAUGUUAUCACGGGAGACACACGGCGGGUGCUAACGUCCGUCGUGAAGAGGGAAACAACCCAGACCGCCAGCUAAGGUCCCAAAGUCAUGGUUAAGUGGGAAACGAUGUGGGAAGGCCCAGACAGCCAGGAUGUUGGCUUAGAAGCAGCCAUCAUUUAAAGAAAGCGUAAUAGCUCACUGGUCGAGUCGGCCUGCGCGGAAGAUGUAACGGGGCUAAACCAUGCACCGAAGCUGCGGCAGCGACACUGUGUGUUGUUGGGUAGGGGAGCGUUCUGUAAGCCUGUGAAGGUGUGCUGUGAGGCAUGCUGGAGGUAUCAGAAGUGCGAAUGCUGACAUAAGUAACGAUAAAGCGGGUGAAAAGCCCGCUCGCCGGAAGACCAAGGGUUCCUGUCCAACGUUAAUCGGGGCAGGGUGAGUCGACCCCUAAGGCGAGGCCGAAAGGCGUAGUCGAUGGGAAACAGGUUAAUAUUCCUGUACUUGGUGUUACUGCGAAGGGGGGACGGAGAAGGCUAUGUUGGCCGGGCGACGGUUGUCCCGGUUUAAGCGUGUAGGCUGGUUUUCCAGGCAAAUCCGGAAAAUCAAGGCUGAGGCGUGAUGACGAGGCACUACGGUGCUGAAGCAACAAAUGCCCUGCUUCCAGGAAAAGCCUCUAAGCAUCAGGUAACAUCAAAUCGUACCCCAAACCGACACAGGUGGUCAGGUAGAGAAUACCAAGGCGCUUGAGAGAACUCGGGUGAAGGAACUAGGCAAAAUGGUGCCGUAACUUCGGGAGAAGGCACGCUGAUAUGUAGGUGAAGUCCCUCGCGGAUGGAGCUGAAAUCAGUCGAAGAUACCAGCUGGCUGCAACUGUUUAUUAAAAACACAGCACUGUGCAAACACGAAAGUGGACGUAUACGGUGUGACGCCUGCCCGGUGCCGGAAGGUUAAUUGAUGGGGUCAGCGCAAGCGAAGCUCUUGAUCGAAGCCCCGGUAAACGGCGGCCGUAACUAUAACGGUCCUAAGGUAGCGAAAUUCCUUGUCGGGUAAGUUCCGACCUGCACGAAUGGCGUAAUGAUGGCCAGGCUGUCUCCACCCGAGACUCAGUGAAAUUGAACUCGCUGUGAAGAUGCAGUGUACCCGCGGCAAGACGGAAAGACCCCGUGAACCUUUACUAUAGCUUGACACUGAACAUUGAGCCUUGAUGUGUAGGAUAGGUGGGAGGCUUUGAAGUGUGGACGCCAGUCUGCAUGGAGCCGACCUUGAAAUACCACCCUUUAAUGUUUGAUGUUCUAACGUGGACCCGUGAUCCGGGUUGCGGACAGUGUCUGGUGGGUAGUUUGACUGGGGCGGUCUCCUCCUAAAGAGUAACGGAGGAGCACGAAGGUUGGCUAAUCCUGGUCGGACAUCAGGAGGUUAGUGCAAUGGCAUAAGCCAGCUUGACUGCGAGCGUGACGGCGCGAGCAGGUGCGAAAGCAGGUCAUAGUGAUCCGGUGGUUCUGAAUGGAAGGGCCAUCGCUCAACGGAUAAAAGGUACUCCGGGGAUAACAGGCUGAUACCGCCCAAGAGUUCAUAUCGACGGCGGUGUUUGGCACCUCGAUGUCGGCUCAUCACAUCCUGGGGCUGAAGUAGGUCCCAAGGGUAUGGCUGUUCGCCAUUUAAAGUGGUACGCGAGCUGGGUUUAGAACGUCGUGAGACAGUUCGGUCCCUAUCUGCCGUGGGCGCUGGAGAACUGAGGGGGGCUGCUCCUAGUACGAGAGGACCGGAGUGGACGCAUCACUGGUGUUCGGGUUGUCAUGCCAAUGGCACUGCCCGGUAGCUAAAUGCGGAAGAGAUAAGUGCUGAAAGCAUCUAAGCACGAAACUUGCCCCGAGAUGAGUUCUCCCUGACCCUUUAAGGGUCCUGAAGGAACGUU
rnacentral:rRNA from 1 species